CUGCGUGCUCAUCGCCACCAACUAUAGGGUGACCAAACGUCCGUAUUUCCCGGGACAUGUCCGUAUUUCACGUCCUGUCCCGGGCGUCCCGGGUUUUUUUAAAAAGUGAGGAAAUGUCCUGGUUUUUAAA